rnacentral:rRNA from 1 species
CGGUACGUACUGGCAUUGUUGGUUUCUCCCUUCUGACGAACCAUGAUGUCAUUUAUUUGGUGUUGUGGGGAAUCAGGACUGUUACUUUGAAAAAAUUAGAGUGUUUAAAGCAGGCUCACGCUUGAAUACAUUAGCAUGGAAUAAUGAAAUAGGACGUUUGAUUCUAUUUUGUUAGUUUCUAGGAUCGACGUAAUGAUUAAUAGGGAUAGUUGGGGGCAUUAGUAUUCAAUUGUCAGAGGUGAAAUUCUUGGAUUUAUUGAAGACUAACUACUGCGAAAGCAUUUGCCAUGGAUGUUUUCAUUAAUCAAGAACGAAAGUUAGGGGAUCGAAGACGAUCAGAUACCGUCGUAGUCUUAACCAUAAACUAUGCCGACUAGGGAUCGGAUGAUGUUAAUUUUUUAAUGACUCAUUCGGCGCCUUACG